rnacentral:rRNA from 1 species
GACGAACGCUGGCGGCGUGCUUAACACAUGCAAGUCGAACGAUGAACCAGGGCUUGCCCUGGGGAUUAGUGGCGAACGGGUGAGUAACACGUGGGCAACCUGCCCCAGACACCGGGAUAACCUCUCAAAAGAGUGGCUAAUACCGGAUAUGACCACUUUGGGCAUCCAACGGUGGUGGAAAGGAUUCUGGUCUGGGAUGGGCCCGCGGCCUAUCAGCUUGUUGGUGGGGUAACGGCCUACCAAGGCGACGACGGGUAGUCGGCCUGAGAGGGCGACCGGCCACACUGGGACUGAGACACGGCCCAGACUCCUACGGGAGGCAGCAGUGGGGAAUAUUGCGCAAUGGGCGAAAGCCUGACGCAGCGACGCCGCGUGAGGGACGAAGGUCUUCGGAUUGUAAACCUCUUUCAGCAGGGACGAAGCGAAAGUGACUGUACCUGCAGAAGAAGCACCGGCUAACUACGUGCCAGCCGCCGCCGUAA